GACGAACGCUGGCGGCGUGCUUAACACAUGCAAGUCGAACGGAAAGGCCCUGCUUUUGUGGGGUGCUCGAGUGGCGAACGGGUGAGUAACACGUGAGUAACCUGCCCUUGACUUUGGGAUAACUUCAGGAAACUGGGGCUAAUACCGGAUAGGAGCUCCUGCUGCAUGGUGGGGGUUGGAAAGUUUCGGCGGUUGGGGAUGGACUCGCGGCUUAUCAGCUUGUUGGUGGGGUAGUGGCUUACCAAGGCUUUGACGGGUAGCCGGCCUGAGAGGGUGACCGGCCACAUUGGGACUGAGAUACGGCCCAGACUCCUACGGGAGGCAGCAGUGGGGAAUAUUGCACAAUGGGCGGAGGCCUGAUGCAGCAACGCCGGGUGCGGGAUGACGGCCUUCGGGUUGUAAACCGCUUUCGCCUGUGACGAAGCGUGAGUGACGGUAAUGGUAAAGAAGCACCGGCUAACUACGUG
rnacentral:rRNA from 1 species